rnacentral:rRNA from 1 species
AGUGAACGCUGGCGGUAGGCCUAACACAUGCAAGUCGAACGGCAGCACAGGAGAGCUUGCUCUCUGGGUGGCGAGUGGCGGACGGGUGAGGAAUACAUCGGAAUCUACUCUGUCGUGGGGGAUAACGUAGGGGAACUUACGCUAAUACCGCAUACGACCUACGGGUGAAAGCAGGGGACCUUCGGGCCUUGCGCGAUUGAAUGAGCCGAUGUCGGAUUAGCGAGUUGGUGGGGUAAAGGCCCACCAAGGCGACGAUCCGUAGCUGGUCUGAGAGGGUGAUCAGCCACGCUGGAACGGAGACACGGUCCAGACUCCUACGGGAGGCAACAGUGGGGAAUAUCGGACAAUGGGCGCAAGCCUGAUCCAGCCAUACCGCGUGGGUGAAGAAGGCCUUCGGGUUGUAAAGCCCUUUUGUUGGGAAAGAAAUCCAGCUGGCUAAUACCCGGUUGGGAUGACGGUACCCAAAGAAUAAGCACCGGCUAACUUCGUGCCAGCCGCCACAGUAA